rnacentral:rRNA from 1 species
GAUGAACGCUGGCGGCGUGCCUAAUACAUGCAAGUCGAGCGAACGGACGAGAAGCUUGCUUCUCUGAUGUUAGCGGCGGACGGGUGAGUAACACGUGGAUAACCUACCUAUAAGACUGGGAUAACUUCGGGAAACCGGAGCUAAUACCGGAUAAUAUUUUGAACCGCAUGGUUCAAAAGUGAAAGACGGUCUUGCUGUCACUUAUAGAUGGAUCCGCGCUGCAUUAGCUAGUUGGUAAGGUAACGGCUUACCAAGGCAACGAUGCAUAGCCGACCUGAGAGGGGGAGCGGCCACACUGGAACUGAGAGACGGUCCAGACUCCUACGGGAGGCAGGAGUAGGGAAGCUGCCGCAAUGGGCGAAAGCCUGACGGAGCAACGCAGCGUGAGUGAUGAAGGUCUUCGGAUCGUAAAACGCUGUUAUGAGGGAAGAACAUAUGUGUAAGUAACUGUGCACAUCUGGACGGUACCAAAUCAGAAGGCCACGGCUAACUACGG